GGAGAGGCAGUGUCAGCUGCAGCAGGUUGUGUGUUCCGCGGGUCCUGCACACAGGGCUUGACUGGAAGGCACUCGGGGAUCCCGUGCAGAUUCGCACACGAGGAUGGCUUGUGAAAUCAUGCCGCUGCGAAGGUAGUGUUCUCUGCUUCUUAUGCUGUUUGGUAUUUUCUGGGCAGCGUACUUGGCCAGUGCUCUCGGCAUCAUUAGUAACAGGCUGCAAACCUUGCAGUCUGUUCUGCACAGUGCUCUUUCCUCAGACCAGAUAGAAACAUUUAAAUAGCGCACUUCUCUUUCACUGACACUUUUGUGUAGUUGCUCAUGAUUAUUGGGUUCAGCUAUACCUUCUUUUAAGGGAAGUGUAUUUAAGACAAUACCUCUGCAAACCGAAGCAAAGCAAACUGAAUGGGCUUCCUGGGUCUCCAGGCUGUUAGAGCUCAUAGAUGGAUCUGAUUCUCUGCUCUCUAGGCAAGGACUUUCUUCAAGUAUAUUGUAGUUAUCGGAAUAAAGGUUGAGAACAAUGUUUUUCCUUGAAUAAUUCUAGGUAGAUUGGUUACCCAAAUGACGCUUGGAAAAAAAUAACAAAACAAAAACAAAAACCAAAAAGGAAAAAAAAAAUGCUGUGUAAGAGUGAUAGAGCACAGGGUUCUGGCUUUGCUUUUGAGGACUGUGAUGGGGGCAGGGGGUGGGGUGUCUCUCUGAGUCCUAUAGAAAUAAAUAAAGGUAACUAACUGUACAUAGCCCUGGCUGUUAGGAAGCACACUGCUGGUGAAGUAGACCCGAGUGCUGAGUGCUGUGUGUUAAAGCCACUACAGAAAUCACUGAGUCCUGUCCCCACAGAAAGUCUGAGCCGCCCAAGGUCACAGUUCAUAGUUUAAAAACUGACUUGUGCUAAUCAUAUGGUUACAUCUGAAUUGCAAUUACUUAGUGAUAGUGACAUUUGACUUCAUAUAUAUGUUUCAUUUACAGUUUUCUAUGGAAAAUGGUAUUGUCAAAAAUCAGACAGUAAUGGCAAUUUAUUGAAAAUACUUAGAUGAAAUGAAUUUACUGAAAAGAAACAAUCCCAUGUAUAUUUUGUUUGUGCUUUAGCAACAGAAAUAUGAUUUUAAAAGUGUAUCAUUUUUGGUAAAGAGAUUCCUUCAGGCUGGCUGUGGUGAGAGCCAGUGUGGUUGUUUUUCUUUUGCUGUCCUGACAUGUCCACUGUAAUAGGAACUUGAUGUGGUGUUCAGAGUACCUUAUCAGAGAAUUGAUACUUAAUGUAGAAGAAAGUGCUGUGUAGAGUAAUCUAUAAUUCUACAUUGAUUUGGUGGAAAAGUCCCCAUGCUUGAAAUUUCUAAGAGAACAAAACUAAUGUACACUUUUUGGAGUUUUAAUAUCUAAUUGUUAGGUUGGGAACUUUUGUCCUUCCAAUGAUGUCGGUCCUCAAGAUCUCUAAGCAGGUCAUGUUUUAGAUAAAAAGUAUUGGCCAUUACUAAGCCCUGUUGUAGCUACACAAAAAUAGAAUGCCUGCUAUGUAGAGCAAAAAUGACCAUGUGAGUUCCUGAAAACUAUUUUACAUUGUUGGUCGCUAUAGUGAAACUAGAAAUCUCAGUGUGCAUUGCAGAAUGCUGAGUCAUGACUUUUGUCUCUCUGGUCACUCCUCACCAGCUCACUGUGCACUCAAUGUCCCCUUACUUCCAAGCCCCAUGGCAGGGAUGAUUGAUCCCCUGGCAAUCUUCACUUGCAGUUUAUUUCUGCUUUUGAUUAUACACUUCUUGAAGACAACGGCCAGGUGUGUAUGAUGAGGCUUUCUGCACAGAGGUCCCUUGUGAGUCUAAGUGUUUAUGCCGAAUCGCUCAUGAUCUUGCAGGGUGUCUCUCUUCAGAUCUCAGGCCAAUGUCUUUGGCUGUUGUUCUCCAUGUUUGUUAUAGAAAUGAUCCCCAUUGCUGAGGAUCCCAUCCUCAAGCUCCCAAAGGAGAGAGUUUAUAGACUCGUGCAAGGUUUCAGUGCCAGAGUGCUUGAAACUGAAUUGAAAUAAAUAGGUAAAAUAUUAGCUUUAAACAAGAAGUAAAGCAAUUCAUGGUGAAUAGUGCAUUGAAAAUACUGGUGUGAAUUCUAGUUAAUGAUUAUAGCUUGUAGAAAUCUAUUGACAGCUGGUCCAUGUAGUAAUCUGACACUAUGCUGCCUAACAUUGGCACAUAGCAUAUUUAAUAUUAUGGCCUUAUGGGAGGUAUUCUUUUCAGUUUUGCCUGUUCAAACAAAACUUACAACAUUGUUUAAUGUUUUCUCCUUGAUCAAACACUACUGCCCUGCCAGUAAGGAAAUUAAGACACAAGUUCUGCUGUCCCACACUAGUGAGGACGCAGAAACAUCACCAGGCAAUUGCAAUGCCAUGCGGUAAAUUCUGUAAUACACAGCAAGAUUAGAGUAAUAACAGAUGCACCUCGAUGGAUAUGUUUCACCCUGUGUUUUAUUCAACCUCAUCUACGUGUCUGAUGUUAUUAGAGGGUACACUUGUACUGUAAUAAUGUCUACCUAAGUUAUAAUUUUCAUAGGUGACUUUUUAGCCUUCCUUUGCAUCCCUUCCGAAGGCGUAGAAGAUAUUUUAAUACCCCCGAUUUAUAACUGAGAUGAGAAUGCACACCAAGUUAAAGAGUGAGAAUGAUUUAACGCACCUUGGUCCUCUUUCCAAUCUUCUUUUUUCUGUGGAGUUUCCAGCAUAGGCUUGACUCAGACAUGCGUGGGCUUCAGUGAAAGCUUUGUAGAGAUUGAGUGUUCAAAUUCUGUCCCUUUGUAAAAUUCUCAUUUCUUACACUUCAUUUCAAAUGACCUAAAUUAAAAAUGAAGUCUUAUUAGGUCCUAAAAAGAAAAAAAUUCAAAUUGUCUCACAUUUUUAUUUUUUAAAGAUUUAUAUUUAUAUUUUAAUUUUUUGACAGACAGAGGUAUGCAUGAACCUUUGCAGGUCAAAAAACAAAACAAAACAACAUUGGAUCCCCUGGGACUCGAGUUACACGUGAUUGGGAGCUGACAACUGAAGGCCAAUCCUCUGCACCCUCUUCCCUAGUUUUGUUUAAAGAUUCUAAAAUAUUUAUAUCAUUCUUACAGUUCAUGAUAAAACAACACUUUAUGGUCUUCCCUGUCUGUAAGGGUCUUUGAGAUCAAUAAUAUGAGGGGAGUAAGAAUUGAAAAGAAAGUGAGAUUUUCACCUUUGGUGACUAAUGUGGUUGCAUUUUUAUCAGAUCCCAAGUCAGCAGACAGCUCAGCUCUUUGAGAGAUUCACCUACGAUCAGUGUUGCUUUCCCUGCGACAAGUAGUUAUGGAUCUCUACCAAAAUAUUUCCUGAGAGAGACGCACCACAACAGGCCCAGAUACAAAGGCUUUAUGGAGACCUUCACCAAGUCAGCUUUCAGGGCAGUACUUUGAUUUGUUGGAUUAACUUCCCAAUAUCCCCUCAGUUUAUCUCCACGAAGGGUGAUAUGGAAGAUCAUUAGUGUUUGGAAUUUGGCUUCCUCUUUUAAAUGUUCAGGCAUCUUCAUGCUUGGGUAAGCAUCAAGUACAAGCCUGUGUUGAUUUACUAAGUGAGAGGUGGAGGAUCAUAAUGUCUAUGGAAGCCUCUUUUUCAUCAUUUCAUCCAGAAUAUUAUAAUAGCUUGAAUAUUAGUUUUUCCAAGGGUGAAGCACGUAAGAAAUCCAAGUUUAAGUGGACUUCAAAGAAGACUUAAAGCAACAUAAUUAAUUAGCAUGUAUUAAUGAUUCAACAUUUAAAACUUUGCUGAAACUUCCUCUCGGUGGGACAUAUCUGGCCUGUAAAUGUUUGUCUUACGAGUAUCCUUCAGCAAGUGCAUCAACAUUGACAAUGGGAUGACAUUUGAGUUCAUUGGUAAAAACCUAAGUCACAUGGAUCCUGAGCUGCUGUGUGGUGUUAGAGAGCCCCCUGCUGCUUGUGGAGGUGAUGCCUAACUUGCCUGGUUACUAACCACCCUGCCUGCCAGCCCAAUAUAAGGAGUUAAAGGCUACCUCACUUCAGACCUGUGUGGGUUGUAUAUCUGAAUUUAUUAUUUAUUGAUGAUAUAGCCUGUAUUUGAUAGUAACAAACUUGAAAGAAAAACAGACCUAUUCUCACUGCGUGGUGACUUCCUUACCUGUAGAGCAGAAAUGUUUGCCAAUUACUCAUAUAAAGAAGGUAAUUUGGCCAGACAUAGUGGUACAUACCUUUAACCCCAGCACUUGGGAGGUAGAGACAGGAGGGUCUCUGUGAGCUCAAGGCCACCCUGGUCUGCAUACUGAGCUCCAGGACAGACAGAGAUAAUAAUGAGAUCUUUUGGCCCUUUCUC
rnacentral:lncRNA from 1 species